rnacentral:lncRNA from 1 species
AUUUUUUAUUUUGUUUUGUCUUCCAUAACGGAACUGAAGCUAUAGUCUAGAGCUCCUGGGGGGCACCACCGGACUCUCCAGGAAUAAACUCCCCAUCGCACACAUGUACCCACCAGCCUAUCUAAGAGGAUAUAGCCAGGAAGGCCUCAGAAGGAGCCCAUUAGGAGGCUGAGCCAGGAGGAGCAGGCAGAGCUUGUCAGACCCAAUUAAACUCUUUCUUGACCCAUCCAACUCUGCAGAGAGGUUGCCUGGGGUGGAGCUGGGGACUGGGAUGUCCCAGCCUGACCUCUUUCCCUUUGGGCCACCGUCUACUCUGAUUCAAUUGGGCAGUUUGAGUUUCCGUGAGGGAUUCGAGGUCCAUUAAGUCCUGACCAACAAUAGCUGCUAUUUAUCAAGUGCACGCUGGGCCCCAUACGUGGCACUUUGAAUGACUAAACAGGGGACCAAUGAAAGAUAUUUUAGAUACUCACAUUAGCCCUGCUUUUGCUUUACUUUUUCUGUUGUUUUCUCCCUUCGCUCUGAUUGCCAUGCAUAAUUUCAACAAUAAAAUACAGUAAAUCUGGAUUUCCCCCCCCCCGAUUUUGAGUACAAUUAAUAUGAGCUCACUAUAAAGUACACAACAUGGAAAUGAAUAUAAUAGGAAAAAAGUCCUCUAUAUCCCCCCUCCUCAAAUAUCAACUGCAGCUAACUCCUUCGUGAAAUGCUGCCAUUAGCUGUAUCAACAGAUGUGUGUCUGUAUUGUGAGAGGAAAACCAUUAUUAACCUGUUCAUAAUCUCCUUUCUUCCCUGCCUUUGCGGAAGAAAACUUUGUAGUUCAGGUAGCUUCAGCCUGGCUUUAUCCUGUGGAUCUGAUUGACAGGUGGAGGGAAGGGAAAGGAACCAGUUAGGAGAGAAAAGGCAGAGGUUGCUGGAUAGGAAAAGAUGGGAGAGGCUGGAACAAGAGCCAGAGGAGCAGUGCAGCCGGACCUUCGAAUGAGCCUUUGAGGGACUCUGAAUACAGAUUUGGAGGCUGCCAGGCUGCCUUCUAGAAAGUGGGAGGGAAGAUGAGAAAGAGAAACAGAGGAACUUAUUGAGAUUAUGAAUGAAAUCUUUUCAUUUUCAAAAUAGCUGAAUAAAUAUUUAAAUUGCUUUUCAGUGUUUUGGGGGAAGGGGUGGGGGAAGAGAAACGGGUGUUUCUUUCUAAUUCAGUAGAGAUUCAGAUUGGCCUCAAAGUGGCUGGGCUGUACCCAGAUUCCUUUUUUAUUAACAAAAAAUGAGAUUACAUAAUAACUGCUAAAAUGUAUUGUCUACUUGCUGUAGGCCAAGCAUUGUGCUAAGUACUCUUCUAUAUUAAUUUACUUAGUUCUACAAUACCUCAGUGGGAUACUACUAUUAUCCUAUUUUACAAAUGAGGAAGCUGAGGAUCAGAAAGGUAAAGCAACUUGCCCAAGGUCACACAGCCAGCAAGUGGAGGAGCUGGGAUGAGAUAACUUUUCUAUUAUUUUCAUCUUCUGGUAAAAGUAGUUGCUUAGUUUUAUUUAUUGUUGUUUGGUAUUUCUUAAGGAGCUUCAAACCCCUUUCUGCUUGUAAUCAGUUAGGGAUCUACAUAAAUAAAAGUUACUUGGAGUUCCUGUUGUGGUGCAGCUGAAACGAAUAUGACUCGGAACUGUGAGGUUGUGGGUUCAACCCCUGGCCUUGCUCAGUGGGUUAAGGAUCCGGCAUUGCCAUGAGCUGUGGUGUAGGUCACGACGUGGCUCAGAUCCUGCAUUGCUAUGGCUGUGACAUAGGCCAGUGGCUGCGGCUCCGAUCAGAUCUCCAGCCUAGGAACCUCCAUAUGCCGCAGGUGCGGCCCUAAAAAGACAAAAAGACAAAAAAAAAAAAAAGUUAUUCAUGCACUGCCAUUGAACCCACAAUUCCUUGUGGUGAGUAUUACCCCUGUUCUCCACAAUUAGAAAAUGAAGCCGAGUGGGACACGAUCACUAAUCCAGAGUAAGGCAGCUUUUCAGUUGUGUUGUGAGGUUUGAACUCAACUCUGUUUUCUCUAAGGGACCGUGCAGGAGCCAGAGCUGUGGUGAGGCUCUGGGCAUCGUCUCAGUUACCCAGGCACAAAUUCACAGCCCCUGAAGGCUGGGCCUGAGUGAGAUGGGAAAAGUGAUCUAUUCUAGCCCCUCUUUCAGUUUAUAAACCUCCUCUGUCGUUUCCUCCAGCGAUGUCACCAAGCCCAAGUUUGAACAUCUCUGCUAACGGGACACCUGCUAUUUUUGCAGAGCUCAGAGCUAGGGAAAAGUAGGUCAGGCCAGAGCAGUAAAGCAAAAGAAAUGCCUGAGAAUCAGCUGGGAUGAGCACAGAGACGGCCAGUGGGGACAGGAGGGCAGGGAGAGGGGAACACCACUUCUUCAAAGGUCUUCCUUGCCAAUAGCAGCUCUUUUAUAUACAACCCCUCUCAAUGGAGGGUAUAAGUUAUGUUUUUUCAGGAGUUCCUAUGGUAGCUCAGUGGGUUAAGGACCCAACUAUUAUCCAUGAGUGGGUUCGAUCCCCAGCCUCACUCAGUGGGUUAAGGAUCUGGUGUUACCACAAGCUGCAGUGUAGGUUGAAGAUGUGGCUUGGAUCUGGCAUUGCUGUGGUUGUGGCAUAGGCCAGCAACUGCAGCUCCGAUUUGAUCCCAGCCUAAGAACUUCCAUAUGUUGCAAGUAUUGCCCUGAAAAGAAAAAAAAAGAUAUGUUUUUUCAAGGGACCAGUUCACCAUAGAAUCAGCUACUCUAACCCAGUAUAUUUUCCCCUUUUGCUUUGGCCACUAGGAAGCUCUUAGGUAAAUUACAUAUUCAAUCUCAGUUACUAAUCUGGUCCAGAAGCCUGAUGGUUUUUUCCCUAUCUCUCUCUCUUUCUUUCUUCCUUCCUUCCUUUUUUUUUUUUUCCUUGUGUGUGUGUGUGUGUUUCUAAGGCCCCACACAUAGCAUAGGGAGGUUCCCAGGCUAGGGCUCUAAUUGGAGCUAUAGCCACCGGUCUAUGCCACAACCAUAGCAACACCAGAUCCGAGCUGCAUCUGUGACUUAUACCACAGCUCACAGCAACACCAGAUCCUUAACCCACUGAGCGAGGCGAGGGGUUGAACCUGUGUCCUCAUCAUGGAUACUAGUCAGGUUCGUUUCCACUGAGCCACAACGGGAACCCCCCCUACCUCUUUCUGAGGGCUUUCAAUCUCUCUUUUAAAUUCAUGUUUUACAAUGUUUGCUAUAACAUGGUGCAGCUGCUUCUCUGCAUUCUUGUAAGUGGAAGAGAUGUUGAUGAUAAACAAAAACAUUCUGUAAUAUGAAUUUGUUGGUUGACAGUUGGAGAGAGUUGGGUCAUGGAGAAAUGGGUUAGGACAUAGGGCUGGGCCGAGGUGGGGGAAGGUGGAUCGGGGAGGAGGAAGAGGAUGUCAAGACCAACUUAGCAGCUAUGAUUGGGAACGUGAGGAAGAGGUGCUUGGUGCCAGAGAUAUUCCACAUGGCAAGGAGGUCAGGGGCACUAGAGAGGGAGUAGCAGAGGGUAAAGGAUGGAGUCACGCAGGUCCAGAGAGAAGAGGCCUCAGGCAGUGGGAGCAACCUGUGCAAAGACCCAGAUGUGGGAAGGGCACAGGAGGGCAGAAAGAAGGCGCUAGGGGCUGGAGAACUUGGGGCAGCGAGGAUAGUGGGUGAGCUAGAGGUGGGGGGUGCUGGAGCCAGCGAGGCACCAUUUUUCCUGAAGCCUGAAUGCUUGAGUUCUCAGGAAUAGUCCCAGGCCAGGGCUAUUUCCCCCUCCUGGUGUCCUUGACUUUGGGCUGGGGGUGCAGGAGAAGGCAGCAGAAAAGCAUUGAGCCAGGUGCCCUUGAAACAGAACCAGGCUGCUCACCAGCCCCAUUGACUCAAGGGGGAACUCCCCAGGGGCUGCCCAACCAGUCAGAUGGUGAGCUGGGAUCCCCCCAAAGCCCUAUCUGACUAGGGCUGUAGACCGUGAGGUAAGUUUCCACCCUGGAGUCAGACUCCUGGAGUCCAAUCUGGCCUUGGCUCAGGAAGCCUGGCUAAGGUUCUUCUGCACUUCUCUGAACCUCAUCUCUAAAAUGCAGAUGAUGUUAUCCAUCCUUAAGGGGUGUGGGUUUUUGUUUGUUUGUUUUUUAUGGCUGUACCCAUGGCAUAUGGAAGUUCCCAGGCCAGGGACUAAAUAUGAGCUGCAUCUUCAACCUACUUAUGCUGCAGCCAUGGCAGUGCCAGAUCUUUUAACAUACUGCACAGGGCUGGGGAUCGAACCUGUGCCUCCACAGUGACCAGAGCUACUGCAGUCAGACUCUUAACCCACCUGCAGUACAUCAGGAACUCCCUGCAGGGGUGUCCUGAAGAUUAGGUGAGUUAACAAAAGCAAAAGACUUAGCAUAAAGUAGUUGUUCAACAAAUGUUCAUUCCCCAAACCCAAGGUACUAGGAAGGAGGCCACUGACCCCAUACCCCAUACCCCCUGGUCCCAUCUCAAGUCUGAUGUGGGCUCCUGUGUCUAUGUUCCCACAGCCUAUAUUACUGCUUACAUAGCACCUCCACUCGGUCUGGCUUAGUUUGUUUCCUCUGUUGGUCUCCCCUGUCUGAUCCCAGUUCUAUAGCCCCAAAACCAGAGAUCAGCUUGUAGUUGGUGCUCAAUAACUGUUUAUCAAACUGUACUGAAGGCUUUUCUAGGGGAUGUGACCUGUCUGCAUUGUCUCUUCACGUAGCCCCUAUUUUCACACAUGACAUUCCUAAGGAUCAGAGAGGUGAAGUGACUGGCCCGGGGUCACACAGCCUGUCACUAAGUGACAACUUGGAAUUGAACCCACCUCUAUCUGAUUACAAAGCUCCUGCUCUUCACCAUGGCUUUAUACAGCUUCACUGUAGUUCUUUCACGCAGAGGGGAGAAUUCAGACUCCAGCUCAGCCGCAAAUGGCUAGGGGAUCUUGGGGAUGAGGAGCGUUACACAGCCUCUCUGGGUGUCAGUCCUCAUCUCUAAAAUGAAGGGGUUUGGGGGAGUUCCCGUCGUGGUGCAGCGGAAAGGAAUCCAACUAGGAACCAUGAGGUUGUGGGUUUGAUCCCCGGCCUUGCUCAGUGGGUUAAGGAUCCGGCGUUGCCAUGAGCUGUGGUGUAGGUCCCAGAUGCGGCUCGGAUCUGGCAUUGCUGUGGCUGUGGCGUAGGUGGGCAGCUACAGCUCUAAUUCAGCCCCUAGCCUGGGGACUUCCAUAUGCAACAGGUGUGGCCCUAAUAAUAAUUAUUAUAAUAAAAUAAAAUAAAAGGAAUGGGUUAGAAAAAAGAAGAAAAUAGAAAAUGAAGGGACUGGAUCAGUGAUUCUCGACCCUGGCAGCCCAUUUGAACUGCCUGAGGAGCUUUGAAAAUGCGCUGGUGUCUGCGCCCCAUCCCAGGUCAAUUAAACGCAAUCUCUGAGGAUGGAUCCCAAAGCUUAUAAAACUCCAAGGUGAUCUGACUGGACGAUUAGGGCUGAGAACCCUGAACUAGCCCCUCAGUAAGGCCCAUUGCAAGAAGCCAUUCCAUCUGUCAUAGUGGAAAAACCAGGGCUUCGGAGUCAAGCAUAUGUGGGUUCUAAUCCCAGAUCUCUCUCCCGUUCCCCAGCAUCCUCAUCCAGCAAAGGAGGGGAUCAAGGCUCAGGGAAGUCCAUGGUCAUGCAGCUCUGAAGUGCUAUUGUAGGAGUUUGAAUCCAGUCCACAAUCUCAGGAGUAUUACAUCCUGGACAGGGUGAGGAGGUACAGCGGGCAGGUUUGUUCAGAGACCGUGGCUUCCCUGGUGUUCUGGACCGUCUGAGCCUCGGGGCAGGGGGGAGUCCAUCAGGGGUUCAUUCAUUCAUCCCUGCCCAGUGACUCACAGUUUGGGCAGCGGGUGUUGGGGCAGCAUGAGGUCACACAGACCUCAGCCAUCUCCUCACCUGGCACGUGCCGCGGCACCUCCAUACUCACUGUGCCCCAAGUCCUGAGCAUCAGCAGGCCAGUGUGGACAUGCUGGGCAGCUUGUGUGUGACUGGGGCAAUUGCAUCAGCUGCAAGAACAAAAGCAAAUGCAGAAAGGCUGACACCAACUUAAGGCACAAGCAGACCUUGCUUAAAACACCUGCUCCAUCACACGUGUGCCACAUGGUUAGCAGGUUGGGGCAUCUCUUUGAAAACACUGCAAAAUGCAUGUAAAAGGAUGGCUCAUGGGUCAUCCACCCCGCCUUUGACUGUGCGGUUCCCUUGCCCAGAGUGCCCUUCCCGUCUCUGCUUCUUGUAGGUCUCCAUUCAAAUGUUGCCUCUGCAGGAGUUCCCAUCGUGGUUCAGUGGUUAACGAAUCCAACUAGGAACCAUGAGGUUGCGGGUUCGAUCCCUGGCCUUGCUCAGUGGGUUAAGGAUCCGGUGUUGCCGUGAGCUGUGGUGUAGGUCACUGACGCAGCUCGGAUCUGGCGUUGCUGUGGCUCUGGUGUAGGCUGGUGGCUACAGCUCUGAUUAGACCCCUAGCCUGGGAACAAAAG